rnacentral:rRNA from 1 species
CCUACGGGAGGCUGCAGUGGGGAAUAUUGCACAAUGGGCGCAAGCCUGAUGCAGCCAUGCCGCGUGUGUGAAGAAGGCCUUCGGGUUGUAAAGCACUUACAGCGGGGAGGAAGGCGGUGAGGUUAAUAACCUCAUCGAUUGACGUUACCCGCAGAAGAAGCACCGGCUAACUCCGUGCCAGCAGCCGCGGUAGUACGGAGGGUGCAAGCGUUAAUCGGAAUUACUGGGCGUAAAGCGCACGCAGGCGGUCUGUCAAGUCGGAUGUGAAAUCCCCGGGCUCAACCUGGGAACUGCAUUCGAAACUGGCAGGCUAGAGUCUUGUAGAGGGGGGUAGAAUUCCAGGUGUAGCGGUGAAAUGCGUAGAGAUCUGGAGGAAUACCGGUGGCGAAGGCGGCCCCCUGGACAAAGACUGACGCUCAGGUGCGAAAGCGUGGGGAGCAAACAGGAUUAGAUACCCGAGUAGUC